UACGGAGGGUGCAAGCGUUGUCCGGAUUCAUUGGGUUUAAAGGGUGCGUAGGCGGUCUUGUAAGUCAGUGGUGAAAUCUCAGAGCUCAACUCUGAAUGUGCCAAUGAUACUGCAGGACUUGAGAGCAGGCGAGGUAGCUGGAAUGUGUAGUGUAGCGGUGAAAUGCAUAGAGAUUACACAGAACACCAAUUGCGAAGGCAAGUUACUAGUCUGUUUCAGACGCUGAUGCACGAAAGUGUGGGUAGCGAACAGG
rnacentral:rRNA from 1 species